rnacentral:misc_RNA from 1 species
GAUGAAGAACGUAGCGAAAUGCGAUAAGUAAAGUGAAUUGCAGAAUUCAGUGAAUCAUCGAAUCUUUGAACGCACAUUGCGCCCGCCAGUAUUCUGGCGGGCAUGCCUGUCUGAGCGUCAUUUCAACCCUCAUGCCCCUAGGGCGUGGUGUUGGGGAUCGGCCAAAGCCCGCGAGGGACGGCCGGCCCCUAAAUCUAGUGGCGGACCCGUCGUGGCCUCCUCUGCGAAGUAGUGAUAUUCCGCAUCGGAGAGCGACGAGCCCCUGCCGUUAAACCCCCAACUUUCCAAGGUUGACCUCAGAUCAGGUAGGAAUACCCGCUGAACUUAAGCAUAUCAAUAAGCGGAGGA